UGGCUCAGACGGUAAAGCAUCUGCCUGCAAUGCAGGAGACCCAGGUUCAAUCCCUGG
rnacentral:tRNA from 1 species